rnacentral:rRNA from 1 species
GACGUAGGAUGCAAGCGUUGUCCGGAUUUAUUGGGCGUAAAGAGUUCGUAGGUGGUUCGUUAAGUCUGAUGUUAAAGACUGGGGCUCAACCCUGGGAGUGCAUUGGAUACUGGCGGACUGGAGUGCAGUAGAGGCAAGCGGAAUUCCCAGUGUAGCGGUGAAAUGCGUAGAUAUUGGGAAGAACACCCGUGGCGAAGGCGGCUCUCUGGAACGCAACUGACGCUGAGACGCGAAAGCGUGGGGAGCAAACAGG